rnacentral:rRNA from 1 species
CGGGUGAGUAAUGCAUCGGAACGCGUCCUGUAGUGGGGGACAACCCCGAGAAAUCGGGGCUAAUACCGCAUACGAUCUGCGGAUGAAAGUGGGGACCGCAAGGCCUCACGCUAUAGGAGCGGCCGAUGCCGGAUUAGCUAGUUGGUGGGGUAAAGGCCCACCAAGGCGACGAUCCGUAGCUGGUCUGAGAGGACGACCAGCCACACUGGGACUGAGACACGGCCCAG